GCAGGAUCAUAAAUAAAAAAAGAUAGGAUUAUUAUAAUGAAAGUGUAUGCUGACAUUAUAAUAAUCUUGUCUAUGUUCUAAAUACAAAAUACCUUCACGAGGUUUAGAAUGAGUGAUAUAAGGAAAGUUAUAUUAGCUAAAUUUAUGUAUGUAGAACGAGUUUGAUUAUAAAAAGCGAAGGCAGUUAGGUGUAGUGAAUUAAUAUUAGAGAUGUAAUCUAUAGAGUUUUAAGAUAGUUUUCAUGCCUAUAAUAUCAAUAAUCUAUAUCUAUUACAGCACACUAAUUUUAACA
rnacentral:misc_RNA from 1 species